AUGUGGUUUAAUUCGACGCAACGCGAAGAACCUUACCAAGUCUUGACAUCCCUUGACGAUGCUGGAAACAGUAUUUCUCUUCGGAGCAAGGAGACAGGUGGUGCAUGGUUGUCGUCAGCUCGUGUCGUGAGAUGUUGGGUUAAGUCCCGCAACGAGCGCAACCCUUAUGGUCAGUUACUACGCAAGAGGACUCUGGCCAGACUGCCGUUGACAAAACGGAGGAAG
rnacentral:rRNA from 1 species